AUUUGGCAACCCUAGGUGCUCCUUUGGUGUCACAUAGCAGAGAAGAGCAGUACCCAGGGCUCCAAUAUUGGCGGCGCCAAUAGCUGAAGUGAUGUGAUCAUAACCAGGAGCAAUAUCAGUUGUAAGUGGGCCAAGUGUAUAAAAUGGGGCCUCAUGGCACCAUUCCAAUUGCUUUUCCAUAUUUUCGGGAAUUUUGUGCAGAGGAAUAUGCCCAGGUCCUUCAUUCAUUACCUGAACAUCCUUCGCCCAAGCUCGGGCUGUCAGCUCCCCUUGCGUCAAAAGCUCAGCAAACUGUGCAGUGUCAUUGGCAUCA
rnacentral:misc_RNA from 1 species